CUCAGUGCGACUGCUGCCAUUGCUGGGUGCAAGCCCUGGUUGGGGAGUUAAGAUCCUACAAAGCAAGGGACUCAGCCAAAAAGAAAAAGAAGAAAAGAAACGAAACAACUCAAGUGUGCCCUCCAGGUAGAAGAAACUGUGAAAGCUCUCACGGAAUAGGUCCAGUGUCACUCCCUCCUAGGGCGCUACAUGCAGAGGCCUCCCAGAGGGAAGUCCAGAUGAGAGUUUCUAGUGAAAACUGACUGCUUGAGCCCAGCGGCUGGGAAGAGAAACAAGCGCAUGACGCCUCCACUCAAGAUGGUGGAAGCAGCGUCGGGCCCUGUGCACAGACGAUGCGCCCGCGCCGAGAUCCAAAACAUCGGCAGCACAGCCCCACUAGUCUCGCGAGAACUCCAUCCCUUCCCCGCUGGAGAGCCAUUUAAAGCGGCCUGCCAUGGCGUCUUGGGGAGAACGUGUACUCCAGAGCCACUGCCACAUUGUGCAGCAUGCCAGAUCUUGGUUACCCUACCAUGGAUGGAACCCAAGCCCCCUGCAGUGGAAUCCCAGAGUCUUAACCAAUGGACUGCCAGGAAAGUCUUGACAUUAAUCUUUUUAAA
ensembl:lncRNA